GGACGGCGCCUUCGGCUCCCUGGUACUCACACUGCCGCUGGGGGUUUCUCCCGACGUGCCAACCCCCUUGUCCACUCUGUUUCAAACGGCAAGUACUCUCCCACUAUUUUCCUCACGAACUGCACGGUUUUCUCAGGGGGGUUGGGUCCUAAGUAAACCAGCAGCGCGGUAACCUCUCUGUCAAAAGCCUCCUGAGUGUUGCUGGGUGCUAUGCUUGCUCUGAC